rnacentral:lncRNA from 1 species
AUUUUAGAAGUAACGAAGUUACAACAUGAACAAUAUAUGUAUAUUAAACUUUCACAAGCAGAAUAUUUUCAGUGGAAAGUAAUGAAGAAUAUAUUAUGAGGCCAGUAUGCAUUGAACACAGAUUGAGCUAUCUACAAGUUUAUGUAUAUUUUAAUAACACAUACAAAUUGAGAUAUUUUGUCAUUGGAAAAUUAUGAUGAUGCAAUAUGGCUGCCCGUAUUGAAAACAGAUUGUGUUAUCUUCAAGUUUGUAAAUCCUUGUUAUAGUGGAAGAG